GACGGAGGAUGCAAGCGUUAUCCGGAAUGAUUGGGCGUAAAGCGUCCGCAGGUGGCAGUUCAAGUCUGCUGUCAAAGACCGGGGCUUAACUUCGGAAAGGCAGUGGAAACUGAACAGCUAGAGUAUGGUAGGGGCAGAGGGAAUUCCUGGUGUAGCGGGUGAAAUGCGUAGAGAUCGGAAAGAACACCAACGGCGAAAGCACUCUGGCUGGGCCGACACUGACACUGAGAGACGAAAGCUAGGGGAGCGAAUGGG
rnacentral:rRNA from 1 species